AUUGAACGCUGGCGGCAUGCCUUACACAUGCAAGUCGAACGGCAGCGGGGGAGAAGCUUGCUUUUCCUGCCGGCGAGUGGCGAACGGGUGAGUAAUACAUCGGAACGUGCCCUGUAGUGGGGGAUAACUAGUCGAAAGAUUAGCUAAUACCGCAUACGACCUGAGGGUGAAAGUGGGGGACCGCAAGGCCUCAUGCUAUAGGAGCGGCCGAUGUCUGAUUAGCUAGUUGGUGGGGUAAAGGCCUACCAAGGCGACGAUCAGUAGCUGGUCUGUGAGGACGAUCAGCCACACUGGGACUGAGACACGGCCCAGACUCCUACGGGAGGCAGCAGUGGGGAAUUUUGGACAAUGGGCGAAAGCCUGAUCCAGCAAUGCCGCGUGUGUGAAGAAGGCCUUCGGGUUGUAAAGCACUUUUGUCCGGAAAGAAAUGGCUCUGGUUAAUACCUGGGGUCGAUAACGGUACCGGAAGAAUAAGGACCGGCUAACUACGUGCCAGCCGCCGCCGUAA
rnacentral:rRNA from 1 species